AUAAAAGCCUAACAGUAUCGAUAGCAUAGAUAUAGCAUUCAAGAUCGCUUGCUAUCCCGUUGUCAACUCAACUACUGACUUUCAGACAUCAAACCGGCCCGUUUGAGUUCUGUUGAAGCAGACAUUGAAGCAGCCAGGUUAAUUCAACCCAGAUCAUCACACCAAGAAUUAUGACUGUACGUCUCGAGACUGGU